AUUGGAUUAGGUCUAUUUUAAUUGGACUCCUACCCAACUUGGAAGAGUUUUAAGUGUGGAAGGAGACCUCCAUGCUACUCUAGUUUCACACCAAAAAUUGAUUGCCGCCACCUAUUUUAGCAUUGAGAAGAGGAAGAGUCUUUCUUCCUUAAGACUCUUAACCAACUCUUUGUUUUCCACUGAUUCCUUUAUUGUCACAUGCCUAAAUAAAUGAGAAAAUUAUGGGGCAUAGAAGAGGAAGAGUCCUUCUG
rnacentral:lncRNA from 1 species